AAAGCCCAAAAGGAGUUUGUCAGG
rnacentral:piRNA from 1 species